rnacentral:rRNA from 1 species
UACGUAGGGUGCAAGCGUUGUCCGGAAUUAUUGGGCGUAAAGAGCUCGUAGGCGGUCUGUCACGUCGGCUGUGAAAUCCCGGGGCUCAACCCCGGGCGUGCAGUGGAUACGGGCUGGCUGGAGGCAGGCAGGGGAGAACGGAAUUCCUGGUGUAGCGGUGAAAUGCGCAGAUAUCAGGAGGAACACCGGUGGCGAAGGCGGUUCUCUGGGCCUGUACUGACGCUGAGGAGCGAAAGCGUGGGGAGCGAACAGG